UCAUGUUAAAAAUGGUACUAAGAUCAUCAGUAUGCAGAUGGGGUAGAUAUGUCAGAAGUGCAGGAUGAUUUUUCAGCUGUUAUAACAAAGUCAUUGGUGACCUUGGUGCAUGGCCUGGAAACCAAAGGUGAAGUUGCAUGCUCAUCUCAAUGGAUCCAUUAGAGACUCCACACCUAGAACUCACAAAGGCCUUAGAUGAAAAGAGUGUUAUAAAUUUCUCUCAAGUGGAGCAUAUUAUCAUGAAGUGUAUCUUAGUCAGUGGCAAAUAUACACGCUAAGAGAUUUCUUAUUCCAUAAGAUUUGACUACAUGCUCUUUUAAUUAAAUAUUUAUUUGUGAUGAAUUAUAGUUGAUGUAUCAACACACUUUGAUGUAUGGUUGUUACUUAAUAUUAUAGUUGAUGUAUUAAUACA